rnacentral:rRNA from 1 species
AACGACGCUGGCGGCAGGCCUAACACAUGCAAGUCGAGCGCCCCGCAAGGGGAGCGGCAGACGGGUGAGUAACACGUGGGAACGUACCCUUUGCUACGGAAUAGUCUCGGGAAACUGGGGGUAAUACCGUAUGUGCCCUUCGGGGGAAAGAUUUAUCGGCAAAGGAUCGGCCCGCGUUGGAUUAGGUAGUUGGUGGGGUAAUGGCCUACCAAGCCGACGAUCCAUAGCUGGUUUGAGAGGAUGAUCAGCCACACUGGGACUGAGACACGGCCCAGACUCCUACGGGAGGCAGCAGUGGGAAAUCUUAGACAAUGGGCGCAAGCCUGAUCUAGCCAUGCCGCGUGAGCGAUGAAGGCCUUAGGGUUGUAAAGCUCUUUCAGUGGGGAAGAUAAUGACUGUACCCACAGAAGAAGCCCCGGCUAACCCCGUG